rnacentral:rRNA from 1 species
UACGGAGGGGGCUAGCGUUGUUCGGAAUUACUGGGCGUAAAGCGCACGUAGGCGGCUUUGUAAGUUAGAGGUGAAAGCCCGGAGCUCAACUCCGGAACUGCCUUUAAGACUGCAUCGCUAGAAUUGUGGAGAGGUGAGUGGAAUUCCGAGUGUAGAGGUGAAAUUCGUAGAUAUUCGGAAGAACACCAGUGGCGAAGGCGACUCACUGGACACAUAUUGACGCUGAGGUGCGAAAGCUAGGGGAGCAAACGGG